UGCUUACUCUCUGCUCCUGGGCAUGACUGUUGUAGCUUUCUUCAUGACUUGGAGUGGGUGGAGAAAAUGGUUUAUAAAAAAAAUUAGUUGGUGCAACAAGAAAACGUUUUACUACAAACUGAUUUUGGAAGAAGAGAAAAAAGUUCUGGAGGAGCUUUUGAGGAAAGAAGCAAAUGAGACUUUGACUAAAGAAAUCAUGAGCAACAUAAAAAGGAAAGACUGGGACGGCUGUUUUAAUGUUGCUCAACAAAUGAUCAAUAAAGCAAAACAUCAACAACCAGGAGCAACCAACCAGCAGAUCAACUGGAUCAGUGAGGGGAGCUCCAACAGAGGGGGGCAGCAUCAUCAAGCAGCAGCACAUCAGCAGGCACAAAACUAUGAACUUGAUGCAGUGGCAAAAGAAAACACAGACACCAUGCCGUUAUUUAACGAAUCCGCCUGAAAGAACAUCAAGUGACACAGCUCCAGAAACAACGCAAGUUAUACACCUUGUCAGAAUGGUCGCUCCUUGUCAUCACAGCUGAGGGGGGAUAAAAAGUCUUAAUGUCCAGCCUAAUGUGAUUAAAAAUGAUCAGAGUGCUAAAACAGAACUUUCCCUUUUUCCCUAAAAUAUAAGUUUGAUCGACAUAAUAAUGAGAAAAGUUGUUUGAGUAGUACAAAUGACUGUUCUAAUGUCAUUGUUUCGUUGUAGUGUGUGUGUGUGUGUGUGUGUGUUAGUGGCUAGAUCCACUGAUCUCAAUGAAUGCCUGACUUUUAAAUUGAUUUAAUAAAAAGUUGUAUGAAAUAAAUGGUAAAUAACAAACAGUUUUUGAAAGGAUGCAUUUCUCAGUAUUUGAAUUAAAUAGGGAUUAUGUCACAAUGAAUGUUCAUGUGAAAAUGUGCUAAAGACAAAUCUAACUGAAAUAGAAUUACAUAAACUGAGUGAAACAUGAAGUGAAUUAUAUCCAUAUAUGACCGAAUGUUUAAAUGUGAUGUGAAUUCUGUUAUGAAUGACAAAGAAAAAAUAAUGACCUGAUGUUAAAGUUUAAACUUGGUGUUAAAUCUGCUAUGUCAGAUAGACAGAGAUAGGAUGAUACAGUGUGGCUGGAAUAAUGGAUCUAAUGAAUGAUUAGGUGUUAGUAAUGUGACUGGAUGUCCCGAGGGGUGAAGCUGGAUUUCAUCUCUGAAGACGUGACAUUCAGUAGCAGAGGGUGACAUAGGGGUCAGCAUCAGCAUUAGCUCAGAGUAGGUUAAUUAGAUAAGUGUAAUUCAGAUGUUUUCAUUAAUGUUUUAUGAUUUUUACUAUUUGAUUUUGCUUGCUAAUAAGAUUUCCAGCAGCUAAAGCCUAUAAUUGUGGAUAUUCACUUUUAAACUCUUUGUGAAACAGUAA